rnacentral:rRNA from 1 species
GGAUAACGCCGGGAACCGGGGCUAAUACCGGAUAGUUUUUCCUCCGCAGGAGGAAAAGGAAAGGCGGCUUCGGCUGCCACUUACAGAUGGCCCCGCGGCGCAUUAGCUAGUUGGCGGGGUAACGGCCCACCAAGGCAACGAUGCGUAGCCGACCUGAGAGGGUGAUCGGCCACAUUGGGACUGAGACACGGCCCAAACUCCUACGGGAGGCAGCAGUAGGGAAUCUUCCGCAAUGGACGAAAGUCUGACGGAGCAACGCCGCGUGAGUGAAGAAGGCCUUCGGGUCGUAAAACUCUGUUGCCGGGGAAGAACAAGUGCCGUUCGAACAGGGCGGCGCCUUGACGGUACCCGGCCAGAAAGCCACGGCUAACUACGUGCCAGCAGCCGCGGUAAUACGUAGGUGGCAAGCGUUGUCCGGAAUUAUUGGGCGUAAAGCGCGCGCAGGCGGCUUCUUAAGUCUGAUGUGAAAUCUUGCGGCUCAAACCGCAAGCGGUCAUUGGAAACUGGGAGGCUUGAGUGCAGAAGAGGAGAGUGGAAUUCCACGUGUAGCGGUGAAAUGCGUAGAGAUGUGGAGGAACACCAGUGGCGAAGGCGGCUCUCUGGUCUGUAACUGACGCUGAGGCGCGAAAGCGUGGGGAGCAAACAGGAUUAGAUACCCUGGUAGUCCACGCCGUAAACGAUGAGUGCUAAGUGUUAGAGGGGUUUCCGCCCUUUAGUGCUGCAGCUAACGCAUUAAGCACUCCGCCUGGGGAGUACGGCCGCAAAGGCUGAAACUCAAAGGAAUUGACGGGGGCCCGCACAAGCGGUGGAGCAUGUGGUUUAAUUCGAAGCAACGCGAAGAACCUUACCAGGUCUUGACAUCCUCUGACCUCCCUGGAGACAGGGCCUUCCCCUUCGGGGGACAGAGUGACAGGUGGUGCAUGGUUGUCGUCAGCUCGUGUCGUGAGAUGUUGGGUUAAGUCCCGCAACGAGCGCAACCCUUGACCUUAGUUGCCAGCAUUCAGUUGGGCACUCUAAGGUGACUGCCGGUGACAAACCGGAGGAAGGUGGGGAUGACGUCAAAUCAUCAUGCCCCUUAUGACCUGGGCUACACACGUGCUACAAUGGAUGGUACAAAGGGCUGCGAGACCGCGAGGUUAAGCCAAUCCCAGAAAACCAUUCCCAGUUCGGAUUGCAGGCUGCAACCCGCCUGCAUGAAGCCGGAAUCGCUAGUAAUCGCGGAUCAGCAUGCCGCGGUGAAUACGUUCCCGGGCCUU